AGCGAACGCUGGCGGCAGGCCUAACACAUGCAAGUCGAACGAACCUGUCGGGGUUAGUGGCGGACGGGGGGGUAACACGUGGGAACGUGCCUGUAGGUUCGGUAUAACUCAGGGAAACUUGUGCUAAUACCGAAUGUGCCCUUCGGGGGAAGGAUUUAUCGCCGUUAGAGCGGCCCUCGUCUGAUUAGCUAGUUGGGUGUGGUAAUGGCGCACCAAAGCGACGUUGAGGAGCUGGUCUGAGAGGAGGAUCAGCCACAUUGGGACUGAGACCCGGACCACACUCCUACGCGAGGGAGCAGUGUGGAAUCCUGCGCACUGGGCCAAAGUCUGGCGCCGCCACGCCGCGUGAAUGAUGAAGGUCUUAGGAUUGUAAAAUUCUUUCUCCGGGGACGAUAAUGACGGUACCCGGUGAAGAAGCCCCGGCUAACUUCGUG
rnacentral:rRNA from 1 species